rnacentral:lncRNA from 1 species
GCAGAGUUAUUACUGUAAUUGCCAUUAAUAGACCUUAACAGCCCUUGUUGAUCACUCUCGUUAUUUGACCCGCCACCCCGGCCGCCGCUGCCAAGGCUGAUCACGCCAUCUCCUCCCCAGUUGUCAUUUCUUCUCAAUGUUGCAUCAGGUGAUGUCACUAUAUUUUGAAGCCCUGUAAGGUUUGUAGGACUAGUCACAUGGCCAUGCCCAUGGCUUAAACCGAACUCUUGUAUAACUCCCAUUUCUUGUUGCGGUUUAGUGGAGCCAAUAAUGGAAGAAUUUCCAAGUGGGUAUUUAGGUAGAAGAGAGUGAAGAUUAAAAAUUGGGUUUUGCAAAUUUAUGUCUAGGAGAUUAGUGUUAAUAUUCUGCGGCGAAUGAGAACAAGUGUUGUUGUUAGUUGAUGAAGAAGAUGAAAAAGGUGUUUGAAUUUUCUGUGCGGCAGGUCUUAAAAGGUAAUUAGGAGACGGCGAAGGGUCAAAAUGGGUAGAAGCUGAUCUUAAAGAAGAAGUGCCAAAUAGAUCAAGUCUAGUUCUUUGAAACGACGUCGAAGUAAAAGGAGGUGCAGGAAUUCCAGUGAAUUCUUGAACCAUGGCUCGGAAAUUAGUUGUAUCGGUAGUUAAAACAGUAGUUGGUGCACGUCUAGAUGCUCUGGAUCUUUUUUUUGGAUUACGACCAAUAUUGGUGGUGGUUUGAUCGGUAGAUGUGGAAGCAGAAGGUCUUAGUGUAGUUUCUGAGGGUUGAGGGAUUUGAACUGAAGGAAAAUGAGGUUUAUUUUGUGAUUGGUUGGUGAGAAAUUGCUGGGUUGGAGAAGAUGAGUCUAUUAAAGCAGAAAGAUCAGUGCAGUUGGUUUCAGAUCUUAAAUUUUUAGACCAGACCAUAUCAAGGUUAAGAAAUGGGUUUGUGAGUUGGGAAGGUAGUGAUCUAGUUGAUACAAAACAGACAAACACUAAAGACUAAACCCAUUCCCUACGUUGCAGUAAAUUACAUUUUUUUUGUUUUUCUUCUUGAAUUGUUUUAUUUUAUAUAUUAAUGUCAAAUAAUUUUAAAAAACAAAAUAAAAACUCAUGCAAGUGUGAUGGUACGAGGAAGAAACGUCCUUACAUAAUAUGGGCGUAUGUUAUAUUUAUUUUAUGUCCGUUAGAUCACAUUCUUGAUUCUUCUUACAAUAGUCAAACUCAAUAACUAAAAUACAUGACUAAAAUAAACCAAUUAAACAUUAAGAAAAAAAAUAAAUAAGCCAUGAAAUAUGUAAUAGGAUGUAUGAAAAUGGCCAAAUAAUAAUAAUAAUAAUAAAAGAGAAACAGAAAAAUAGAGAAACUAUAUAUUAUUUACAUUAAUUGAAAGAAAAAAAAAAUAGUAAUAAUGACAAAACAAUGUUCAUAUAAUUAUGUUGAAAGUCAUGGUUAAGAUGGAGAGACAGAAAAAAUAUUCUUCUCUUUCAUGCAUCAAAGAUACUCACCAUCAUUUCUUUUCUUUUCAUUCUCUUUGUGAUGGUCUAAUUAUGAUAAAACUUUCUUGAUAAUAAUCAUAAUAGUAGUAAUAAUAUUAGUGAUUAUGAUUUAAUAUAACUAGUCUGAAGAACAAAUCCAUGAUUCCACCAUACCUUCACUUCUUGUUGCCACAUUAAUCUCUGUUCCUUUAUCACUGUUACUAACUCUUGCAGAGUUAUUACUGUAAUUGCCAUUAAUAGACCUUAACAGCCCUUGUUGAUCACUCUCGUUAUUUGACCCGCCACCCCGGCCGCCGCUGCCAAGGCUGAUCACGCCAUCUCCUCCCCAGUUGUCAUUUCUUCUCAAUGUUGCAUCAGGUGAUGUCACUAUAUUUUGAAGCCCUGUAAGGUUUGUAGGACUAGUCACAUGGCCAUGCCCAUGGCUUAAACCGAACUCUUGUAUAACUCCCAUUUCUUGUUGCGGUUUAGUGGAGCCAAUAAUGGAAGAAUUUCCAAGUGGGUAUUUAGGUAGAAGAGAGUGAAGAUUAAAAAUUGGGUUUUGCAAAUUUAUGUCUAGGAGAUUAGUGUUAAUAUUCUGCGGCGAAUGAGAACAAGUGUUGUUGUUAGUUGAUGAAGAAGAUGAAAAAGGUGUUUGAAUUUUCUGUGCGGCAGGUCUUAAAAGGUAAUUAGGAGACGGCGAAGGGUCAAAAUGGGUAGAAGCUGAUCUUAAAGAAGAAGUGCCAAAUAGAUCAAGUCUAGUUCUUUGAAACGACGUCGAAGUAAAAGGAGGUGCAGGAAUUCCAGUGAAUUCUUGAACCAUGGCUCGGAAAUUAGUUGUAUCGGUAGUUAAAACAGUAGUUGGUGCACGUCUAGAUGCUCUGGAUCUUUUUUUUGGAUUACGACCAAUAUUGGUGGUGGUUUGAUCGGUAGAUGUGGAAGCAGAAGGUCUUAGUGUAGUUUCUGAGGGUUGAGGGAUUUGAACUGAAGGAAAAUGAGGUUUAUUUUGUGAUUGGUUGGUGAGAAAUUGCUGGGUUGGAGAAGAUGAGUCUAUUAAAGCAGAAAGAUCAGUGCAGUUGGUUUCAGAUCUUAAAUUUUUAGACCAGACCAUAUCAAGGUUAAGAAAUGGGUUUGUGAGUUGGGAAGGUAGUGAUCUAGUUGAUGAUGAUGAAGGGUCGAAGUAAUUUGAUAAAGGGUCAAACAUGGUUGAUGAUGAAGAAGAGUGGUGGGUUUGGUGGUGGUGGUGGUCUGCCGGUGGUGGUGGUGGUGGUGGGUUAGACAUGGGACCAACAUGGG